UAAUCAGCAAGAGAGCUUUCUUCAGUCCACUCAUGGGUGGCCAUAAGAUUCAAUUAACUGCCGACUCAUUCAUCCAAAUACUAAGUUAUGAAAUGAUUUACUUGGUAAAUGAGUGAAUGAUGCGGGAGAUAAAUUGGUUCUUUUGCUUCUCAUACUUGGACUGAAGGGAGCUCCCUUCUUUAUUAUG
rfam:Macleaya cordata isolate BLH2017 scaffold8943, whole genome shotgun sequence.